rnacentral:rRNA from 1 species
GACAGAGGGUGCAAACGUUGUUCGGAAUUACUGGGGCGUAAAGCGCGUGUAGGCGGCCCUGUAAGUCGGGUGUGAAAUCCCACGGCUCAACCGUGGAAGUGCAUUCGAAACUACAGGGCUAGAGUUCUGGAGAGGAAGGUGGAAUGCUUGGUGUAGAGGUGAAAUUCGUAGAUAUCAAGCGGAACACCGGUGGCGAAGGCGCCUUCUGGACAGUAACUGACGCUGAGACGCGAAAGCGUGGGGAGCAACAGG